rnacentral:rRNA from 1 species
AUUGAACGCUGGCGGCAGGCCUAACACAUGCAAGUCGAACGAGUGGCGGACGGGUGAGUAAUGACUGGGAAACUGCCCGAUGGAGGGGGAUAACUACUGGAAACGGUAGCUAAUACCGCAUACCAGCGGAUGUGCCCAGAGGGGAUUAGCUAGUAGGUGGGGUAACGGCUCACCUGGGCGACGAUCCCUAGCUGGUCUGAGAGGAUGACCAGCCACACUGGGACUGAGACACGGUCCAGACUCCUACGGGAGGCAGCAGUGGGGAAUAUUGCACGAUGGGCGCAAGCCUGAUGCAGCCAUGCCGCGUGUAUGAAGCAGGCCUGCGGGUUGUACAGUACUUUCAGCGGGGAGGCGUUACUCGCAGAAGAAGCACCGUCUAACUCCGUGCCAGCAGCCGCGCUAAUAC